rnacentral:rRNA from 1 species
AUUGAACGCUGGCGGCAGGCCUAACACAUGCAAGUCGAGCGGAUGAAGGGAGCUUGCUCCUGGAUUCAGCGGCGGACGGGUGAGUAAUGCCUAGGAAUCUGCCUGGUAGUGGGGGAUAACGUCCGGAAGCGGGCGCUAAUACCGCAUACGUCCUGAGGGAGAAAGUGGGGGAUCUUCGGACCUCACGCUAUCAGAUGAGCCUAGGUCGGAUUAGCUAGUUGGUGGGGUAAAGGCCUACCAAGGCGACGAUCCGUAACUGGUCUGAGAGGAUGAUCAGUCACACUGGAGCUUGGACACGGUCCAGACUCCUACGGGAGGCAGCAGUGGGGAAUAUUGGACAAUGGGCGAAAGCCUGAUCCAGCCAUGCCGCGUGUGUGAAGAAGGUCUUCGGAUUGUAAAGCACUUUAAGUUGGGAGGAAGGGCAGUAAGUUAAUACCUUGCUGUUUUGACGUUACCAACAGAAUAAGCACCGGCUAACUUCGUG